CUUCAAGUUACCUUAGGGAUAACAGCGUAAUAAUUUUGGAAAGUUCUUAUUGAUAAAAUAGUUUGCGACCUCGAUGUUGGAUUAGGAUUCUUUUUUGGUGAAGAAGUUAAAAAAAGAAGUUUGUUCAACUUUUAAAUUCCUACAUGAUCUGAGUUCAGACCGGCGGGAGCCAGGUUGGUUUCUAUCUUAAAAUUUACAAAAAUUUUUAUAGUACGAAAGGAAUUGGAAAUGUUAAUUAAUUUAAUUUGAUAAUAGUAAAUAUUUU
rnacentral:rRNA from 1 species